AGCAGCCGCGGUAAUUCCAGCUCCAAUAGCGUAUAUUAAAGUUGUUGCAGUUAAAAAGCUCGUAGUUGAAUUUUGGAUUCUGCUAGUUGGUCCAUCUUUUGAUGAGUACUGAUUGUGUGGGGUCUAUCCGCCUGGUGAUACGUAAUGUACUUUAUUGUAUGUUAUGGGUAGUUAGGACCUUUACCUUGAAAAAAUUAGAGUGUUUAAAGCAGGCUUAUGCCGGAAUACAUUAGCAUGGAAUAAUAGAAUAGGACGAAGUUGUUUUAUUUUGUUGGUUUCUUAGGACAACCGUAAUGAUUAAUAGGGAUAGUUGGGGGCGAUUAGUAUUCAAUUGUCAGAGGUGAAAUUCUUGGAUUUAUUGAAGACUAACUACUGCGAAACAUUUGCCAAGGAUGUUUUCAUUAAUCAAGAACGAAAGUUAGGGGAUCGAAGACGAUCAGAUACCGUCGUAGUCUUAACCAUAAACUAUGCCGACUAGGGAUCGGGCGAUGUUGUUUCCAUGACUCGCUCGGCACCUUAU
rnacentral:rRNA from 1 species